rnacentral:rRNA from 1 species
GCAUAUCAAUAAGCGGAGGAAAAGAAACCAACAGGGAUUGCCUCAGUAACGGCGAGUGAAGCGGCAAGAGCUCAAAUUUGAAAGCUGGCCCCCUCGGGGUCCGCAUUGUAAUUUGCAGAGGAUGCUUCGGGAGUGGCCCCCAUCUAAGUGCUCUGGAACGGGCCGUCAUAGAGGGUGAGAAUCCCGUAUGGGAUGGGGUGUCCGCGACCAUGUGAAGCUCCUUCGACGAGUCGAGUUGUUUGGGAAUGCAGCUCUAAAUGGGUGGUAAAUUUCAUCUAAAGCUAAAUAUUGGCCGGAGACCGAUAGCGCACAAGUAGAGUGAUCGAAAGAUGAAAAGCACUUUGAAAAGAGAGUUAAAAAGCACGUGAAAUUGUUGAAAGGGAAGCGCUUGCGACCAGACUCGCCUACGGGGUUCAGCCGGUAUUCGUACCGGUGUACUUCCCCGUGGGCGGGCCAGCGUCGGUUUGGGCGGCCGGUCAAAGGCCCUCGGAAUGUAACGCCUCUCGGGGCGUCUUAUAGCCGAGGGUGCCAUGCGGCCAGCCCGGACCGAGGAACGCGCUUCGGCACGGACGCUGGCAUAAUGGUCGUAAGCGACCCGUCUUGAAACACGGACCAAGGAGUCUAACAUCUACGCGAGUGUUCGGGUGUCAAACCCGUGCGCGCAGUGAAAGCGAACGGAGGUGGGAACCCUCACGGGUGCACCAUCGACCGAUCCUGAAGUCUUCGGAUGGAUUUGAGUAAGAGCGUAGCUGUUGGGACCCGAAAGAUGGUGAACUAUGCCUGAAUAGGGCGAAGCCAGAGGAAACUCUGGUGGAGGCUCGCAGCGGUUCUGACGUGCAAAUCGAUCGUCAAAUUUGGGUAUAGGGGCGAAAGACUAAUCGAACCAUCUAGUAGCUGGUUCCUGCCGA